rnacentral:lncRNA from 1 species
CAGCGUUGUUACUGCCUCUGGCUCCAUGCAUUUCAACUCAGAAAUCUCAGCAGCCUAUAAGACAACGCUG